GCCUGGCUGGCUCAGUCGAUAGAGCAUGUGACUCUUGAUCUUGGGUCAUGAGUUUGAGCCCCAUGUUGGGUG
rnacentral:tRNA from 1 species